GACGUAGGGUGCAAGCGUUAUCCGGAAUUAUUGGGCGUAAAGAGCUCGUAGGCGGUUUGUCGCGUCUGCUGUGAAAACUGGAGGCUCAACCUCCAGCCUGCAGUGGGUACGGGCAGACUAGAGUGCGGUAGGGGAGAUUGGAAUUCCUGGUGUAGCGGUGGAAUGCGCAGAUAUCAGGAGGAAUACCGAUGGCGAAGGCAGAUCUCUGGGCCGUAACUGACGCUGAGGAGCGAAAGCAUGGGGAGCGAACAGG
rnacentral:rRNA from 1 species